GUUCCAAACUUUAAUGCUCGCGAGUCUUUUAGCCACCGUUUGGUUCGGGAUUAAGAAAAAGUAGCUAUUCCAGGAAUAGGGUUAAGUUCAGAGUUAAAAUGGUGUUAAAAUUUUUUUGUGUUUGGUUGGAGGUUGGAGUUAGUCUAAGAUAGUGAAAAAAAGUAUUUAGUUGGAGUAGGUGGGAUAAAAAGAUAAUGAUUGAUAAAGAAGAAAAAUGUGAGGGCUCGGGAUGCGUGCGGGAUUAAAGUUGGGAGGGGGAGUGGGGUUAGUAAACCCUACUAACCCGGUUUGGGGUGGGGUUUACUAACCCCACCCUUUAAGAGUGGUGUUUGGGUAUAAAUUGGGGGUUAAGGGAUUAUUCCACCUCUUAAUCCCCAACCAAACGGUGGCUUAAUGUGUUUUAGUGAUAGUGUUCAAUUGCUGCUGAAAAAAAUAAAUAAAAGAAAACUAAAAUAU
rnacentral:lncRNA from 1 species